rnacentral:rRNA from 1 species
UGCGAGUCGUUGCAGCAAUGCAAGGCAUACGGCUCAGUAACACGUAGUCAACCUACCCUAUGGACGGGGAUAACCUCGGGAAACUGAGAAUAAUACCCGAUAGAUCAUUAUGCCUGGAAUGGUUUAUGGUCCAAAUGAUUUAUCGCCGUAGGAUGGGACUGCGGCCUAUCAGCUUGUUGGUGAGGUAAUGGCCCACCAAGGCUAUAACAGGUACGGGCUCUGAGAGGAGUAGCCCGGAGAUGGGUACUGAGACACGGACCCAGGUCCUAUGGGGCGCAGCAGGCGAGAAACCUUUGCAAUGUGCGAAAGCACGACAAGGUUAAUCCGAGUGUCUUCUGCUAAAGGAGUCUUUUAUCAGUCCUAAAAACACCGAUGAAUAAGGGGUGGGCAAGUUCUGGUGUCAGCCGCCGCGGUAAAACCAGCACCUCAAGUGGUCAGGAGGAUUAUUGGGCCUAAAGCAUCCGUAGCCGGUUGUGUAAGUUUCCGGUUAAAUCCAUAUGCUCAACAUAUGGGCUGCCGGGAAUACUGUACAACUAGGGAGUGGGAGAGGUAGAGGGUACUCCGUGGGAAGGGGUAAAAUCCUUUGAUCCAUGGAUGACCACCUGUGGCGAAGGCGCUCUACCAGAACACGUCCGACGGUGAGGGAUGAAAGCUGGGGGAGCAAACCGGAUUAGAUACCCGGGUAGUCCCAGCCGUAAACUAUGCAAACUCAGUGAUGCAUUGGCUUGUGGCCAGUGCAGUGCCGCAGGGAAGCCGUUAAGUUUGCCGCCUGGGAAGUACGUACGCAAGUAUGAAACUUAAAGGAAUUGGCGGGGGGAGCACCACAAGGGGUGAAGCCUGCGGUUCAAUUGGAGUCAACGCCGGAAAGGGCGAAUUCUG